rnacentral:rRNA from 1 species
CCUACGGGUGGCAGCAGUAGGGAAUAUUGCUCAAUGGGGGAAACCCUGAAGCAGCAACGCCGCGUGGAGGAUGAAGGUUUUCGGAUUGUAAACUCCUUUUGUUAGAGAAGAUAAUGGCGGUAUCUAACGAAUAAGCACCGGCUAACUCCGUGCCAGCAGCCGCGGUAAUACGGAGGGUGCAAGCAUUCCUCGGAAUCACUGGGCGUAAAGAGCGCGUAGGCGGGAUAGCAAGUCAGAUGUGAAAUCCUAUGGCUUAACCAUAGAACUGCAUUUGAAACUGUUAUACUAGAGUAUGGGAGAGGUAGGUGGAAUGCUUGGUGGAGGGGUAAAAUCCGUAGAGAGCAAGAGGAAGACUCAUUGAGAAGGCGACAGGCUAGAACAUAACUGACGCUGAUGCGCGAAAGCGUGGGGAGCAAACAGGAGUAGAUACCCUUGUAGUC